rfam:Aedes aegypti strain Liverpool supercont1.230 genomic scaffold, whole genome shotgun sequence.
GGCUCGGUAGCUUAGUUGGUAAAGCGCUCGUCUAGCAGACAAGAGUCCUGGGUUCAAAUCCCAGCCGAGCAC